AUAAUGGGUUAGGUAAAUGUUUCAUGAUAAGAAUUUCAUGUCUUUUGUAUUAAAGAAUUAAAUGGAUGAAAUAUGAAGUUUUAUUAAAAGAAAAAGGGGUGAAAAGAAUAAAGUUUUGUCCAUCUUUGUUCAUCAUAGCUGAAAGUUAGAGAAGAGAAAGGAGAGGAGAAAGCUCUUGAGUAUUCGGUCAUUAGGAGGAGGAAAAUUGAAGGAAAUCCCCAACCAUAGUGGGCUUGGAGCUAUGAGGGAAUUCGGAGUGGCCACCCGUUCUGAAAGUUUGAUUUUCUUCUGGUGAACUGGACAUCCUUUUAAUUACGUUUGAGGUUUUGGGCUUUUAAAUGUAAUAAGGCCGCUUAUUUA